UCGGAUGUUUAACCAACUGAGCCACCCAGCCUCCCCUCUUGUACUGUUUUUUAAAUUAUUUUCUCUUCUCUGCUUUUUUCUACUCCCCAACGUCAGUCAGAUAUUGGAUUAGCUGAAUUAACCCUAACUAUGUUUUCUGUUGUUCGUCUCUUUAGCUGUUUAUUUGGCUCAACGAGUUCCUGGCCUCUAGCUUUUAAACCUUGCAUUGAAUUUGUCAUAUCACCUGUCACGGUUUUUGUUUGUGUCGUUCGUUGUUCUCAGAAUAUUCCUUUUUAUUGCAACACAUUCUUAUUUCAUGGGUGUAGUAUUUCACCUUUUCCCCGAUAGAAGUAACUUUUUCCCCCUAGUCUCUGAAUUGUCUAUUUUCCAAGAGUUACUUUCCUUAGUUUGUUUUGGUCUCUCUCCAUUGUGUGGAGAUGUUCUGAAACUGGGUCUCCAAUUCUAAGCAGUGUGUUCACAUUCUACAGUGAAACCCUGGGGCGCUUGGGUGAGGGAUGUGGGGUGGAGCAGGCUGGCUGGUGGCUUUGGGGGGACAUUGACCGGUCGGAGGCCAGCUUUGUCAUCUGGUGACCCUCCUCCCAUCCCCACAUACAGAUAUCAACAUGGGAUGGUCUUUUCUCUGCAGCCUUUUAGUUCCUCUAGAGAGGGAUCUUCCAGAUGCCUCUGGGGGCUAUAGAUGGCCAGCUGAGGCCCAUCUCCGAACCAGGCAGGAGAAAGCAGCCAGGGGCCGCCUGGUUCCGAAGGAUUGUAUUCCCACAGAACAUCAGAAAAUAGAAAUUCUGCAUUUUUCAGUGACACUCAAUUUGCUCUACAAAAAGUGAAGCAUGAAGAUGAACAGAUUGAAGCAUGGAGAAGUAAUCUGCCCAAAUUCACACAGCUCAACUAGGUGUCCUGAGUCGCAGCUGUUGACCACUGUGCCAUAUGCCAAGUUGCAACAUCUUUGUAUGUCACGAACUUGUUAAAGACCUGUCCACCUACUUCAAAGGAAACUCAUGAUAUUAAAACACAGAGGAGUUCCUGUCUCUCCCUCUCUCUCUCCACACACACACACACAUCCACACACACACACAGCGAAUUAAAAGGAACAGAGAACUGUGUAGACCAGAAGUUUGAGAUGAGUCUUUCCUCCCCCAUUGGAGCACAAAAUUUGCUCUGAUUUCCUGGCAACUAAAGAAAACAAAAGUGAAAUGUUAGAUUAUAUGGUUGUCAUUGUUUUGUAGAGCAAGCAUGCAAAUUAUUUUGCAGAGAAAAGUUUUUGGCAACUGAAUUCUAGAAGCAAUUUCUAGAAUUCUAAUAAAAGAACUCUAUAUUAAGGUUUUUUAAAAAUCUUUUUUAUUGUGAAAUGUAAUACUCAGAAAAAUACAUUAACAUAAAUGUACAGCUGACUGAAUUGUUGGAAAGAGAGACACCACCUCCCCCCACCCUGGUCAAGAAAUAGAAGCUUCACAGCCCCAAAGAAGCUCUCCUUGCCCACAAACAUGACCAUUAUCAUAAUUUUUAUGACAAUCAUCUCUUUGCUUAUUUUUUUUUUACAGUUAUACUACCUAAAUAGCACACACACUGUAUUUUUGCCUGUUUUUUGUUUUUUUUUUAUCUUGAUAUGAUUAGAAUCACACAUUAUUCUUUUUGGCUUCUGUUGUUCAACUUUAUGUCCGUGAGAUUCAUCCAAACUGGUCUGUGUGGCUACGUUCAUUUUUAUCGCACUAUGGUACUUGACUGUACUUGGCUGGACGACAUU